rnacentral:rRNA from 1 species
AUUGAACGCUGGCGGCAGGCUUAACACAUGCAAGUCGAGCGAGCGGCGGACGGGUGAGUACUGUCUGGGAAACUGCCUGAUGGAGGGGGCUAACUACUGGAAACGGUAGCUCAUACCGCAUACCAUCAGAUGUGCCCAGAUGUGAUUAGCUAGUAGGUGGGGUAAUGGCUCACCUCGGCGACGAUCCCUAGCUGGUCUGAGAGGAUGAACAGCCACACUGGAACUGAGACACGUUCCAGACUCCUACGGGAGGCAGCAGUGGGGAAUAUUGCACAAUGGGCGCAAUCCGGAUGCAGCCAGGCCGCGUGUAUGAAGAAGGCCUUCGGGUUGUAAAGCACUUUCAGCGAGGAGGCGGUACUCGCAGAAGAAGCACCGGCUAACUCCGUGCCAGCAGCCGCGGUAAUUC